rnacentral:rRNA from 1 species
CAGUCGCCACGGGAAUAUGUAGGGUGCGAGCGUUAAUCGGAAUUACUGGGCGUAAAGCGUGCGCAGGCGGUUGUGUAAGACAGGUGUGAAAUCCCCGGGCUUAGCCUGGGAACUGCGCUUGUGACUGCACAGCUAGAGUAUGGCAGAGGGGGGUGGAAUUCCACGUGUAGCAGUGAAAUGCGUAGAGAUGUGGAGGAACACCGAUGGCGAAGGCAGCCCCCUGGGCCAAUACUGACGCUCAUGCACGAAAGCGUGGGGAGCAAACAGGAUUAGAUACCCGUGUAGUCCCUGUCUCUUAUAA